AUAAGGUUAAGUUAAUAAGGGCGCACGGUGGAUGCCUUGGCACUAGAAGCCGAAGAAGGACGUGACAAACGACGAAAUGCUUUGGGGAGCUGUAAGUAAGCGCUGAUCCAGAGAUGUCCGAAUGGGGGAACCCACUAACUAAUGGUUAGUAUCCAUAACUGUUAAGGUUAUGAGAAGGAAGACGCAGUGAACUGAAACAUCUAAGUAGCUGCAGGAAGAGAAAGCAAACGCGAUUGCCUUAGUAGCGGCGAGCGAAACGGCAGGAGGGCAAACCGAAGUGUUUACACUUCGGGGUUGUAGGACUGCGACGUGGGACUUUAAAAGGAUAGAAGAAUUACCUGGGAAGGUAAGCCAAAGAGAGUAAAAGCCUCGUAUUUAAAAUUCUUUUGAGCCCUAGCAGUAUCCUGAGUACGGCGAGACACGUGAAAUCUCGUUGGAAUCUGGGAGGACCAUCUCCCAACCCUAAAUACUCUCUAGUGACCGAUAGUGAACCAGUACCGUGAGGGAAAGGUGAAAAGC
rnacentral:rRNA from 1 species